rnacentral:rRNA from 1 species
GACAGAGGGUGCAAACGUUGUUCGGAAUUACUGGGCGUAAAGCGCGUGUAGGCGGCUAAGUAAGUCGGGCGUGAAAUCCCACGGCUCAACCGUGGAAGUGCACUCGAAACUGCAUAGCUAGAGUCCUGGAGAGGAAGGUGGAAUGCUUGGUGUAGAGGUGAAAUUCGUAGAUAUCAAGCGGAACACCGGUGGCGAAGGCGGCCUUCUGGGCAGUGACUGACGCUGAGACGCGAAAGCGUGGGGAGCAAACAGG